UUCAGAUGAACGCUGGCGGCAGGCCUAACACAUGCAAGUCGAACGGUAACAGGAAGAAGCUUGCUUCUUUGCUGACGAGUGGCGGACGGGUGAGUAAUGUCUGGGAAACUGCCUGAUGGAGGGGGAUAACUACUGGAAACGGUAGCUAAUACCGCAUAACGUCGCAAGACCAAAGAGGGGGACCUUCGGGCCUCUUGCCAUCGGAUGUGCCCAGAUGGGAUUAGCUAGUAGGUGGGGUAACGGCUCACCUAGGCGACGAUCCCUAGCUGGUCUGAGAGGAUGACCAGCCACACUGGAACUGAGACACGGUCCAGACUCCUACGGGAGGCAGCAGUGGGGAAUAUUGCACAAUGGGCGCAAGCCUGAUGCAGCCAUGCCGCGUGUAUGAAGAAGGCCUUCGGGUUGUAAAGUACUUUCAGCGGGGAGGAAGGGAGUAAAGUUAAUACCUUUGCUCAUUGACGUUACCCGCAGAAGAAGCACCGGCUAACUCCGUGCCAGCAGCCGCGGUAAUACGGAGGGUGCAAGCGUUAAUCGGAAUUACUGGGCGUAAAGCGCACGCAGGCGGUUUGUUAAGUCAGAUGUGAAAUCCCCGGGCUCAACCUGGGAACUGCAUCUGAUACUGGCAAGCUUGAGUCUCGUAGAGGGGGGUAGAAUUCCAGGUGUAGCGGUGAAAUGCGUAGAGAUCUGGAGGAAUACCGGUGGCGAAGGCGGCCCCCUGGACGAAGACUGACGCUCAGGUGCGAAAGCGUGGGGAGCAACAGGAUAGAUACCCUGGGUAGUCAAA
rnacentral:rRNA from 1 species